AUUGAACGCUGGCGGCAGGCCUAACACAUGCAAGUCGAGCGGAUGAAGGGAGCUUGCUCCUGGAUUCAGCGGCGGACGGGUGAGUAAUGCCUAGGAAUCUGCCUGGUAGUGGGGGAUAACGUCCGGAAACGGGCGCUAAUACCGCAUACGCCCUGAGGGGGAAAGUGGGGGAUCUUCGGACCUCACGCUAUCAGAUGAGCCUAGGUCGGAUUAGCUAGUUGGUGGGGUAAAGGCCUACCAAGGCGACGAUCCGUAACUGGUCUGAGAGGAUGAUCAGUCACACUGGAACUGAGACACGGUCCAGACUCCUACGGGAGGCAGCAGUGGGGAAUAUUGGACAAUGGGCGAAAGCCUGAUCCAGCCAUGCCGCGUGUGUGAAGAAGGUCUUCGGAUUGUAAAGCACUUUAAGUUGGGAGGAAGGGCAGUAAGUUAAUACCUUGCUGUUUUGACGUUACCAACAGAAUAAGCACCGGCUAACUUCGUG
rnacentral:rRNA from 1 species